GUGCCAGCAGCCGCGGUAAUACGUAGGUGGCAAGCGUUACUCGGAAUCACUAGGCGUAAAGCGCAGGUAGGCGGUUUGGUAAGUCUGUUGUGAAAGCUCCCGGCUCAACUGGGAGAGGCCAACGGAAACUACCAGGCUAGAGUGUGGUAGAGGUAGCUGGAAUUCCCGGUGUAGCGGUGAAAUGCGUAGAUAUCGGGAGGAAUACCUAUGGCGAAAGCAGGCUACUGGACCAUCACUGACGCUGAUCUGCGAAAGCUAGGGGAGCAAACAGGAUUAGAAACCCUAGUAGUCC
rnacentral:rRNA from 1 species